AUUAUUUUGUUUGUUGUAUUCCAGCAAACUGUGUAUGAUCCCAGGAGCAAAGGCACAGUCUUGUGUAGCAUUGUCAUUCUGCCCCACCGCUCUGAUAUCUAACAAAACGACGCCCUGGAUUUAAAGACGGUGUGUAUUAAAUGAAGUAUGAGAAGAAACAGCUUCUUCGGACACUUGCGCUCCUCUUCUUCAGCUCGUGGAGAAGGCUGACAGCCUGUCUCACUCUCGUCAGUGCUACCCCACCAGCUCCUUUAGGAGCCCAGCACCGCGUUUGGCCUGUUGCGAUCUUCCCGCUCCCCUCAUUUCUGUGCUGCAACGCCACCAUCCACGAGAAGUCAGAUAGGAGAAAAGCUCUUUCGAGAGAGAUGGAGAAGGAAUUAAUUAUACCUCUGCCCCAUCCUGUGAGACCAGAAGACGUGGAGUAAUUGUAAGCUGCCAUUCUCAGGAGACAUACUAAGAGUCUCAGGUUCCUUUUCUGCCCACCCCCCAAAGGCCUUGGGCAUGUUGGGUUCACCCUGGGAAGGGCACGUUGCUCAGGGCAGUUAUUUCCUCCCCGAGACGGCAUGAGGUGCGUUUUUCUGCUGCACUUGCUGUUUUCCAUGUGGUUCGCACUGCUUCCAUUAUUGAGAAAACGGUUUGGGAAGCUGUGUCUGCCAUUUCUCAGGAUUUUCUGCCACCACCUGCUGGCAAAAAAAAUCAGUAACGCAGGUGGAGCCAUGUAGGACUUCUCAGAGGUAAGCCUUCAACGUACGGGGACCCUUAAACUCGUGCGCUGAGCACACAAGACAAAUGUCCGUGGCACAAAGAUCAAGGAAGACUUCUCAGAGGUAAGCAGCUUUCCCUUUGUUUCCCCGUCCUCUCAGGAGCCCUCUUUAUGAUGCUUGUACAUACUUCAGGCUCACAACACUCAUUUUCUCCUCUACUUAGUAUUCCUAGUCCCUGCCUAACCCGUCCUCCCUCCCCCCACUUUCCAAAGACCUACCUGCUCUGCUCAGGUCCCUCCCGAGGUCUUACAGAUCUUUUAAAUCUGCUCAGCGUCCUUUCCGGCUUGUACCGUACCAUUAUUUUUUCCCUGCUCCUUUUGAGAAUGUCUAUACCCUUUUCAGAUCUCGAUUGGGUUGGCUUUUUUGGACCCAUCUGCAUAGCCUUUUGUUUUUCAGGUAGUCUUCUAAGGUAUGUUACUCCUCCGGUGAGUUAUUUUACUACAUUGAAUUGUAUUUUUGUGGUUUGUAAUCUGUUACACUCCUAGAUUAUUUCUACCUAUGUAAAGAAAGGUUUCAGCUAAUUACAGUCAAAAACAGUUUUAGUUACCUACUUGGUCAUAUUGUCGUUUCAAUAAUCAGAACUGAAGCAAAAGCACAGGAAUCGUUGCCUCUAGUAACACUCCACACACUGUUGAGCUAAGCCAAAUAAAAAACGCAGCUGCUGCUCUCUUUAUCCCUUCCUGUGCUUUGCCCCUCCUCUUUCCCAGGUGAUUGGGGCAGGGUGCCGGGUGGGGCCUAAUGGUAUAUGAGCCGCAGGUGUCCUAUCAGAGAGCUCAUUCUGCCUGAGCUGCUUUUUGGGUAGGUAAACCUUAGGAGGAAUCGGUCAAACGCAAAAAACUGUCAAGUUCUUGUUCGGCAGCUCGGUGACUGGUUUGAUCUACUUCUCAGAUGUAGAGGCAAAUGGACUGCUCUUUUGAAAUGAUAAAAUAAAUAACAUGAAUUUUGUCAAAUGUGGCAGUGCCUGUUUGCAGUCUGUUGCUUUUGCCAGUGGUAGAUAACGCUUAUAAGGAAUCGGUCAAAGGAAAGAGCGCCUUCUGGAACUGUGAAGCUCUGCGUUGGCAACUCGGUGACUGGCUUGACCUACUGUCCAUCAUCAGAGGGAAGCGGACUGCUGUUUUGAAAAUAAGAAA